UUCCUGCUACUCUCUGGAGGCAGCCUGGAUGUUGAAGUAGGAGAAGCACAGACCACAAGCAGCUCUUAUAUGAGAAUCAGAAGCUGAGAUGAGGUCAUCUCCCACACAGCACAUGUAUGAAAAUCCACUUUAACAACUUUGGGUGGAAGUUGAAAGUGAGUCAUCGGGUGAUUCAGCUACCAAGGAUGACAUGGAUCGUGUAAGCCGAAGAAGUUGUGACAGUGAAACAGAACAAGACAUGAGACAGAGGAGAAUGGAAUGAAGACUUUGAUUCAGGUUUUGUAGAAGCAAAGCUGAGUAUCUGUGGGCAAAAG